rnacentral:rRNA from 1 species
UGGGGGAAUUUUGGACAAUGGGCGAAAGCCUGAUCCCAGCAAUGCCGCGUGUGUGAAGAAGGCCUUCGGGUUGUAAAGCACUUUUGUCCGGAAAGAAAUCCUUGGCUCUAAUACAGUCGGGGGAUGACGGUACCGGAAGAAUAAGCACCGGCUAACUACGUGCCAGCAGCCGCGGUAAUACGUAGGGUGCAAGCGUUAAUCGGAAUUACUGGGCGUAAAGCGUGCGCAGGCGGUUUGCUAAGACCGAUGUGAAAUCCCCGGGCUCAACCUGGGAACUGCAUUGGUGACUGGCAGGCUAGAGUAUGGCAGAGGGGGGUAGAAUUCCACGUGUAGCAGUGAAAUGCGUAGAGAUGUGGAGGAAUACCGAUGGCGAAGGCAGCCCCCUGGGCCAAUACUGACGCUCAUGCACGAAAAGCGUGGGGAGCAAAACAGGAUUAGAUACCCUGGUAGUCCACGCCCUAAAACGAUGUCAACUAGUUGUGGGGAUUCAUUUCCUUAGUACGUAGCUAACGCGUGAAGUUACCGCCUGGGGAGUACGGUCG